ensembl:snoRNA
AACUUUCUGCACCAGGUAUUAAGCCUCAACAAGAUUUUAAGAAUUUAAAGAUAUUUCAUUAGGUGCUUGAGUCUUUGGAAUGUGAGAUCAUCAAACCUGUACAUUAGUGUUAGGUUCUGACAGAAAUGACAUGCAAUUAUGCUGCCGUUCUUGACUUUCAGGACUGAACUGGUGUGUGGACAUU